rnacentral:lncRNA from 1 species
UCUCCUUUCUAUUUUAUAUUUCUUGUUGGUUCUGCUGCAUAGUUUGAGACAGACCUGUGAUAAUCUCUUUUCCUUCCUGUGCCAUUUCCUAUUCUCUUUGAAAGCACUGUAAUAACCAUGCUGUAAAAAGUAUUUAAUGAUAGGUACAAGUCUGCUGUAGGUUUACUUUAGGUACUUGUACACAUGCCAGCUUUGGACCUAAGUUUGCUGUUCUCAGAGAGCUGUUGCUGAAAACAGCUGUAAUAGAAUCAUAGGUGCUAGACAUUUUAGAGUUCCACUGAGAGCUUAUGUUCAUCUGGAGUCACCACCCACUCAAGUUUGCAAAUGGAAGGCCUCAAAUGAACACUCCUUAGUCUUCUUUCAACGUAGCUUAGCUUAAAAUGCAGAAUAAACUGGUCAUCACGGAAUCACAGAAUGGUUGAGGAUCAGCUUGAUCUGAAGCUGUUCUUCUGGCAGGUGUUGCUGGGAGGACUCAUU